UUUCCCUCAGGAUAGCUGGCACUCUUGCUCUUUCCCGACGCACGCAGUUUUAUCCGGUAAAGCGAAUGAUUAGAGGUCUUGGGGCCGAAACGAUCUCAACCUGUUCUCAAACUUUAAAUGGGUAAGAAGCCCGGCUCGCUGGCGUGGAGCCGAGCGUGGAAUGCGAGUGCCUAGUGGGCCACUCUUGGUAAGCAGAAUUGGCGCUGUGGGAUGAACCG
rnacentral:ncRNA from 1 species